UACGUAGGGUGCAAGCGUUAAUCGGAAUUACUGGGCGUAAAGCGUGCGCAGGCGGUUGUGCAAGACCGAUGUGAAAUCCCCGGGCUUAACCUGGGAAUGGCAUUGGUGACUGCACGGCUAGAGUGUGUCAGAGGGGGGUAGAAUUCCAGGUGUAGCGGUGAAAUGCGUAGAUAUCUGGAGGAAUACCGGUGGCGAAGGCGGCAUCCUGGACCGGCAUUGACGCUGAGGAGCGAAAGCCAGGGGAGCAAACGGG
rnacentral:rRNA from 1 species